rnacentral:rRNA from 1 species
UACGUAGGGGGCAAGCGUUGUCCGGAAUUAUUGGGCGUAAAGAGCUUGUAGGCGGUUUGUCGCGUCUGCUGUGAAAUUUCGGGGCUCAACCCCGAACUUGCAGUGGGUACGGGCAGACUAGAGUGUGGUAGGGGAGACUGGAAUUCCUGGUGUAGCGGUGAAAUGCGCAGAUAUCGGGAAGAACACCCGUGGCGAAGGCGGUUCUCUGGGACGGUACUGACGCUGAGACGCGAAAGCGUGGGGAGCGAACAGG